CUGGUCAGUUUGUUGACCUGGAUGACUUUGUAGAGAUCACUAAGAGUAUACCCAGGGCAUGGCCCCCAGCACUGGCUCGACCCAGAGCCAGGGCCCUGCACAAACCUCUGGAGAGAAGCAGAGUGGCCUGGUCCCCAAGAAGCCUCAGAAGGGAGUGUGGGGGAUGGGUCGGAGUGACAUGUUGAUGGACACCAGACGACACUUCCUGGUGUUGCAGUACCCUAUCACUGCGGUCAUCGAGUGUGAAGGAUCAGCUCAUUGA